GACGGAGGGUGCUAGCGUUGUUCGGAAUUACUGGGCGUAAAGGGCGCGUAGGCGGCCGCUCAAGUCGGGUGUGAAAGCCCGGGGCUCAACCCCGGAACUGCACUCGAGACUGUGUGGCUGGAGAUCGGAAGAGGAGAGUGGAACACCCAGUGUAGAGGUGAAAUUCGUAGAUAUUGGGUAGAACACCGGUGGCGAAGGCGGCGUCCUGGACCAACACUGACACUGAGGAGCGAAAGCCAGGGGAGCAAACGGG
rnacentral:rRNA from 1 species